AUUCAAUGAUGAGGACACUUCCAAAACAACUCUUUAAAGCGCUCCCAAGCAUCAUACAAAGACUCCCUAUAAUUCUGAUGGAAAUUAUUGAUUUCGCUUCUCAAUUU